CGAAAGCGGUCUUCGGACUGCGAGUAGAGUGGCGCACGGGUGAGUAACGCGUAAAUAAUCUACCCUGGUGUCUGGAAUAACCCUUCGAAAGGAGGACUAAUACCGGAUAUAUGCUUGACUGUGGGGUGAAGCAGGAAAGGUGGCCUCUUCUUGAAAGCUACCGCAUUGGGAUGAGUUUGCGUACCAUUAGCUAGUUGGUGAGGUAAAGGCUUACCAAGGCGACGAUGGUUAGCGGGUCUGAGAGGAUGAUCCGUCACACUGGCACUGGAACACGGACCAGACUCCUACGGGAGGCAGCAGUGAGGAAUAUUGCGCAAUGGGGGAAACCCUGACGCAGCGACGCCGCGUGAGUGAGGAAGGCCUUCGGGUCGUAAAGCUCUGUCAGAUGGGAAGAAGUGCUACGUAGUUAAUACCUGCGUAGUUUGACGGUACCAUCAAAGGAAGCACCGGCUAACUCCGUGCCAGCAGCCGCGGUAAUACGGAGGGUGCAAGCGUUGUUCGGAAUCACUGGGCGUAAAGGGCGCGCAGGUGGCUUUUUAAGUCAGAUGUGAAAUCCCACGGCUUAACCGUGGAAGUGCAUUUGAAACUGGGAGGCUUGAGUACCAGAGGGGAAAGUGGAAUUCCCGGUGUAGAGGUGAAAUUCGUAGAUAUCGGGAGGAAUACCGGUGGCGAAGG
rnacentral:rRNA from 1 species